rnacentral:tRNA from 1 species
UGGGGCGUGGCCAAGCGGUAAGGCAGCGGUUUUUGGUACCGCGAUCCCAGGUUCGAAUCCGUGCGCCCCAGCCA